AUUUUUUUUGCAGCAAAGUUAAUUUGGAUCUUCAGAAUUGUCACUAACGUGUUAUGCGUCGUUUGGAUGGGUGAUUUGAAACUCGAUGAAGAUUUGGUUCUAAAUCAUAUGUUUAGACACUUAAAUCGGAAAGAUAUUUAGGGUGAUUUGAAAUUAUCUGUUGGGUUCGAAGAGAAUUUCAUGGAUGAUUUCAAAUCUCCCAGGGAGAUAGAGAUUUCAAAAGAGAGAUGCGAGAUUUGAAAAUUUUCAUCAAAAUUAAUUAUUAUUUUCAUAAAAUUAUAUCAUCAUCCAAACGACGCGUUAAUCUUUUAAAUGGGUUAGCUAUGUGGGUAAUUGAUUAUAAUUUUUUGGAUGAGACAAAGAUGGAAGAGCUAAUAGAGAAUUUUAUUUCAGAUAAUCUUAUACAGGUAUUA
rnacentral:lncRNA from 1 species